rnacentral:rRNA from 1 species
UAGCCUACGGGACGCAGCAGUGAGGAAUAUUGGUCAAUGGGCUUACGCCUGAACCAGCCAAGUCGCGUGAGGGAAGACUGCCCUAUGGGUUGUAAACCUCUUUUGUCAGGGAGCAACGCCGGCUACGUGUAGCCGGACUGAGAGUACCUGAAGAAAAAGCAUCGGCUAACUCCGUGCCAGCAGCCGCGGUAAUACGGAGGAUGCGAGCGUUAUCCGGAUUUAUUGGGUUUAAAGGGUGCGUAGGCGGGACGGUAAGUCAGCGGUAAAAAUGCGGAGCUCAACUCCGUCGAGGCGUUGAAACUGUC